rnacentral:lncRNA from 1 species
CUCUCAGUCUCUCAUUCGAUCAGAUUCAGAGACUCUCUCAGUCUCUCACUCUCUCAGUCAGUCAGUCUCCAUCCUAGAUCACUCUCUCAUUCUCUCAGUCUCCACUCUCUCAGGCGCUCAGCCCAGACGUUAGCGACGAACCCAGACGAGCGAGCGAGACGACGAACCCAGAACGAGAGAGCGAGACGAACCCAGACGAGCGAGCGAGACGACGAACCCAGAACGAGAGAGCGAGACGAACCCAGAACGAGCGAGCGAGACGAACCGUUGCAGGCGAGACGAACCCAGAAACAUCUCGUCUUCG